AGCAGCCGCGGUAAUUCCAGCUCCAAUAGCGUAUAUUAAAGUUGUUGCAGUUAAAAAGCUCGUAGUUGAAUUUCGGGAUCAGUAGGUUGGUCGUGCCACGGGUAUGAACUGGUCUCACUGAUUCCUCCUUCCUGAUGAACCGUAAUGCCAUUAAUUUGGUGUUGCGGGGAGACUGGACUGUUACUUUGAAAAAAUUGAGUGUUUAAAGCAGGCUAACGCUUGAAUACAUUAGCAUGGAAUAAUGAAAUAGGACGUUCGGUCUUAUUUUGUUGGUUUCUAAGAUUGACGUAAUGAUUAAUAGGGAUAGUUGGGGGCAUUAGUAUUCAAUUGUCAGAGGUGAAAUUCUUGGAUUUAUUGAAGACUAACUACUGCGAAAGCAUUUGCCAAGGAUGUUUUCAUUAAUCAAGAACGAAAGUUAGGGAUC
rnacentral:rRNA from 1 species